UGGGGAAUUUUGGACAAUGGGCGCAAGCCUGAUCCAGCCAUGCCGCGUGCGGGAAGAAGGCCUUCGGGUUGUAAACCGCUUUUGUCAGGGAGGAAAUCCUUUGAGCUAAUACCUCGGGGGGAUGACGGUACCUGAAGAAUAAGCACCGGCUAACUACGUGCCAGCAGCCGCGGUAAUACGUAGGGUGCAAGCGUUAAUCGGAAUUACUGGGCGUAAAGCGUGCGCAGGCGGUUGUGUAAGUCAGAUGUGAAAUCCCCGGGCUCAACCUGGGAACUGCAUUUGAGACUGCACGGCUAGAGUGUAGCAGAGGGGGGUAGAAUUCCACGUGUAGCAGUGAAAUGCGUAGAGAUGUGGAGAAAUACCGAUGGCGAAGGCAAUCCCCUGGGCCUGCACUGACGCUCAUGCACGAAAGCGUGGGGAGCAAACA
rnacentral:rRNA from 1 species